AACCUUUACUAUUGAUACUAACAGUCUUUAAUUGAAAACGAUCCUAACAUUUAAUAAUAUUGGUAAUGAUAUAGGUAAUAGGUACUGACCCUCACUAUCAUAUAGUUGCCAA